AUGGCCGACGCGGGUCAGUGUAUGCAGCAUGCAUUCUCAUCAGCUUAAUAUCUGAUACGGGCUGUAUUUGGUCUCAAUAUAUUAAACCUAUUUCUGCAAGUUGGCGGAGUGCUCAAAGCCUGCUUCACCUCUGCCGCGGGUCGGCCCGGUAUUGCACUAUAUCUUCGGGAUCGGCCCAAGUAUG